rnacentral:tRNA from 1 species
GGAAGAUUCGCAUAAAGGUAGUGCAGCGGAGUGCUAAUCCGUCGAGGUGAAAAUCUCGUAAAGGUUCGAUUCCUUUAUCUUCCGCCA